rnacentral:rRNA from 1 species
GAUGAACGCUGGCGGCGUGCUUAACACAUGCAAGUCGAACGAUGAAGCCCAGCUUGCUGGGUGGAUUAGUGGCGAACGGGUGAGUAACACGUGAGUAACCUGCCCUUGACUCUGGGAUAAGCCUGGGAAACUGGGUCUAAUACUGGAUAUGACUUCUCAUCGCAUGGUGGGGGGUGGAAAGAUUUAUUGGUCUUGGAUGGACUCGCGGCCUAUCAGCUUGUUGGUGAGGUAAUGGCUCACCAAGGCGACGACGGGUAGCCGGCCUGAGAGGGUGACCGGCCACACUGGGAAUGAGACACGGCCCAGACUCCUACGGGAGGCAGCAGUGGGGAAUAUUGCAAAAUGGGCGCAAGCCUGAUGCAGCGACGCCGCGUGAGGGAUGACGGCCUUCGGGUUGUAAACCUCUUUCAGUAGGGAAGAAGCGAGAGUGACGGUACCUGCAGAAGAAGCGCCGGCUAACUACGUG